UACGUAGGAUGCAAGCGUUGUCCGGAAUUAUUGGGCGUAAAGAGCGCGCAGGCGGUAUGACAAGUCAGAUGUGAAAGAGGCCGGCUUAACCGGCAAGGGUCAUUUGAAACUGUCAGACUAGAGUGCAGCAGAGGAUAGUGGAAUUCCCGGUGUAGUGGUGAAAUGCGUAGAUAUCGGGAGGAACACCAGUGGCGAAGGCGACUAUCUGGGCUGCAACUGACGCUGAGGCGCGAAGGCUGGGGUAGCAAACAGG
rnacentral:rRNA from 1 species